rnacentral:sRNA from 1 species
GUUUCAAUUCCUCAUAGGCAGGCUAUCGGCCAAAGACUUGUCCACCGUAAAUAUCCAGAAGUUAUAG